UGUGUGUGCGCUCCCACCCUCUGGUUUCCGGUGCUUGAGAGAGGAAGCGGCCAGCUUCAUGGCUCCACGAGGUCUCCCCGCGGUGCUGGAUGGAAAAUGCUUGGCCAGAAGAGCGGCCUGGCUGAUUUCGGAGAGCUUGGCUGAGGCCUGUGCGAGGGAGACGCACACUGAGCAUGCGCGAUGACGGUGCAGAUGGGCGCCCACGCAAAUUUUCCCUAUAGGUACACGCACAGGACCCGGAGCUUAUACCGGGGAGGACCGAUGCCUUCCGGGCCUGGAGAGGAACUCUUGGUACCGAACAUGAGCUAAAGAGGAGGUGAUGAUCUUACUGGCCUUCGCUUGCUUAGCAGUGCCAAAGAGCAAGUCUGGAGCACACUGGCCAAGGACACCUGCUUACUUUCUGCUGGAUCAGGUUUUAUCAGAACAGCCUGCUUGACCUUUACUACAAGAUGGCGAUGGUGUAUAAUCCAAGGUUCUUUUUGCUAAAUGUCUGCUAAAUUCUUUCUGGAAAAGCUUAACCAAGUCACAUUGGUUUGGAAUAUUUGGGUGGGGUACUGCACAAUGAGGUGGUGGGGGGAAAGCACAGGACUUGUAAACUGGGUUUUUGUUACAUGAAGGGAUCUAUUGGGAGAAGCUAUCAAUAAAAAUA